UACGUAGGGUGCGAGCGUUGUCCGGAAUUAUUGGGCGUAAAGGGCUCGUAGGCGGUUUGUCGCGUCGGGAGUGAAAACCCAGGGCUUAACCCUGGGCUGGCUUUCGAUACGGGCAGGCUGGAGUUCGGUAGGGGAGACUGGAAUUCCUGGUGUAGCGGUGAAAUGCGCAGAUAUCAGGAGGAACACCGGUGGCGAAGGCGGGUCUCUGGGCCGAUACUGACGCUGAGGAGCGAAAGCGUGGGGAGCGAACAGG
rnacentral:rRNA from 1 species